GGCGAUGUAGCUCAGCUGGCUAGAGCGCCUGGUUCAUACCCAGGAGGUCGGGGGUUCGAUCCCCUCCGUCGCUACCA
rnacentral:tRNA from 1 species